GAGUUUGAUCCUGGCUCAGGACGAACGCUGGCGGCGUGCUUAACACAUGCAAGUGGUGCGACGAACCAGGGCUUGCCUGGGGCAAAGCCGCGAACGGGUGAGUAACACGUGAGUAACCUGCCCCGAUGACCGGGACAACCCGAGGAAACUCGGACUAAUACCGGAUGUGGCGCACAGGCAUAAGCCUGUUCGCUAAAGGAAGCUUCGGCCUCCGCAUUGGGAGGGGCUCGCGGCCCAUUAGCUUGUUGGUGGGGUCAAGGCCUACCAAGGCGACGACGGGUAGCUGGUCUGAGAGGAUGGCCAGCCACAUUGGGACUGAGACACGGCCCAGACUCCUACGGGAGGCAGCAGUGGGGAAUCUUGCGCAAUGGUCGAAAGACUGACGCAGCGACGCCGCGUGAGGGAGGAAGCUCUUCGGGGUGUAAACCUCUGUUGCCCGGGACGAAUGCUGGAAUUCAUUCCAGUUGACGGUACCGGGUGAGGAA
rnacentral:rRNA from 1 species